AUCAGACUAUUUUGUAAAUCACAUACAUCCUUUCCGGAUAACUUACUUCUGCAUACGCAUAAAAAAGAAAUACAAAAAUUUCAUAAAAAUCUUCACAACUUUAUAUACCGUCAAAUAAAUAAGAAAAAUGAGAAACUUUCCACUCUUCCUUGUCGCCUUCCUAAUUUCCGCGUCUGAAGGGCGUCGCUUCGUCAACGUGGCGACGGGGAAAUGUCUCGACAGCAAUGGAAACGGCGACGUUUACGCGCUUGGCUGUAACGGUGGAAAUUAUCAAAACUGGGACUGGCGAGGCGACCAAAGCAUCGUCAAUGUCGCGACGGGAAAAUGUCUGGACACGAAUGGGCGCAAAUUGUACGCUAUUGGCUGUAACGGAGGGUCUUAUCAGAAAUGGCACGGCACAAACAACCUCGGCGUCGUCGAUGUCGCAACGGGCCACUGUCUGGACAGCAAUGGGCAUGGUGACGCGUACCCCUUGAACUGUAAUGGGGGUAGUUACCAAAAGUGGGUGGCGUAAUGUGGUGAGAUUAUGAAAAUUUCGAGUCUCGAGGUGGAAAAAUAGUUUAUUUCUGUGAUUCGGAAAAUUGUCAAAGCUUAGAAAACUACAUAUAUAAUUCUAGUUAGUUUUAUACUUGUAAUUAAUUAAUAUGCGUAAUAUUUUUAGGGUACAUUUUCACUAAAACACCACACAAAUCAUUCUACUUAUCUUAAUUGCCAUGUGCAUGUGUACGGUUUAUUUUAUAGAUGGCUUUAAUAAUAAAUAAGUCCUUAAUUGUUAUUUUGAGUAAUUA